rnacentral:rRNA from 1 species
UACGGGGGGAGCAAGCGUUGUUCGGAUUUACUGGGCGUAAAGGGCGCGUAGGCGGCCAGCACAAGUCAGUUGUGAAAUCUCCGAGCUUAACUCGGAAAGGUCAACUGAUACUGUGCGGCUAGAGUGCAGAAGGGGCAACCGGAAUUCUUGGUGUAGCGGUGAAAUGCGUAGAUAUCAAGAGGAACACCUGCGGCGAAGGCGGGUUGCUGGGCUGACACUGACGCUGAGGCGCGAAAGCUAGGGGAGCGAACGGG